rnacentral:tRNA from 1 species
GCAGUGGUAGUUCAGUGUUAGAAUUACCACCUUGCAUGAGGAAGACCCAGGUUCAAUUCCCAGCCAGUGCA